UAUUAAAUUGGUGCAAAAGUAAUUGCACUUUUUUGCCAUUAAAAGUAAUGACAAAAACUGCAAUUACUUUCGUGCCAACCUAAUA
rnacentral:miRNA from 1 species